rnacentral:rRNA from 1 species
UACAGAGGGGGCAAGCGUUGUUCGGAAUUACUGGGCGUAGAGGGCGCGUAGGUGGCCUUCUAAGUUGAACGUGAAAUCCCUGGGCUCAACCCAGGAACUGCGUCCAAGACUGGGAGGCUUGAAUCCGGGAGAGGGAUGCGGAAUUCCAGGUGUAGCGGUGAAAUGCGUAGAUAUCUGGAGGAACACCGGUGGCGAAGGCGGCAUCCUGGACCGGUAUUGACACUGAGGCGCGAAAGCCAGGGGAGCAAACGGG